CCUCUCUUAGGGUUGCAUCUGGAGAGUUUCCAGUACUCUAACCAGUCUUGGCUACCGGAGGGAGAGUCAAGCAGAUGCCUACCCAUUCUAUUCCUAGCUUGGGCAGCAGUUAGUGAGCAGAAGGCACUCUGCUACAAGU
rfam:Ornithorhynchus anatinus chromosome 7, whole genome shotgun sequence.